GUGUUUAAUAGUGGACGGCUCACCUACGCGUUCCGGCAUCGCGACAGGUUUCUUAUGCGGGCGCGGUUUUGCGUUUAGAUUCUUUAAACCGUACCAGUUAUUGUUUUCAUAUACCUGCUUUGUUCCUUUUGCAAGAGCACCUGCAUCAGGGAAUGGAAUCAAGGAAAGCGAUCCUACCUGCGCAUAGGAGGAGUGGCCAUUAACGGUAAUUCCUUGAAUUGUUAAGUUGCGUGCUGGUCCGCGGGAACCGAUUCCAUCCGCAUUGGCAACAACGAGAUUUUUAUUAACGGAAUCGACGGCGAUAUCUACCGGGAACCAUGCUGUUGGUAAUAAGCCCUGUAAUUCAGGCGUUUUAUCCGGUCCUUUCCAGUCAUAGACGGCAAUCGCAUUG
rnacentral:antisense_RNA from 1 species